UAUAAGGCACGCGACACCCAUGUUUAACUACUUGAUUUAGUACAUUCUUGACUAUAUUCAAUUUGGAUAUUCAUUUUUGGUAGCUUUGUAUAUCGCUGGAUUCAAGUUUCAUGAAUUGGGCGCAUCAACAUUUCUAUUUCUGUUACUUGAGCCAAAUAGUGUCUAUAAACUGCGGAUACCACAUAUAUCAGAUAAUUGUUUUUCUUCGGGAAAAAGAAAAGUCGUCUUCAUUUUAAGCCAUAUAUUGAAGAGAGUCAUAGAAAAUAGUAACAACAUAACGAAAAAGCUCCGUUGCGGAAGGAUGUACGACUGUGACAAUUUUGGAACACGACAUGUGCACGCAACUCGUCCGGACUUUAUUAAUUGUGCAAAAUUAGUCUUUUUAGCUCACCUGAGCUUGCUCAGGGUUAGCUUUUAGGAUCGGUGAAUGUCCG